CACCGGAUAAUCCUCCCGUCGGAGACGCCGGUGUAGGGGCCGCCGCCGCGGCUGUCGAAGGUGAAGCUCUCCGGCCCGACGGCGCCGCCGGGCAUUGGUAAAACGACGGCGUCAUGAAUUUUGUUGGGCACCAAUGAGGUGAUUGAGUCGAGGGAGGAAAAUGGAGUGAGCAACCGAAGUUGGGGCUUUAAAUGUUGGAGAAUAAGCCUGAAAAAAAGAAACAAGAGGUUGAAGUAAAGCAAGUUUUGUGAAAAAGAAGAUGACUAUAAAAAGCAGGAUUUUAGAAAGAAUAGUGUGAGUUGUGCAAAGAAAAAUGUUGCAUUAAGCAAGCUAGAAGGACUGAUGUGCAGGCCAAGAGAAGAAGAGUUGGUGGAUGAUUGCAUUCCAGCAAGACAAGGCCGGCCGGCAGGGAAAUUGGAGCAGAUGAGAUUUCGGUGCACGUGGCAGUCCAAGGUAAAGCUAUUUCAAGGGGAAAAAAAUGUUGAGGAUCUAGGUGUCGCUACAUUAUUUGUGAUUUUAGGGUUAAUUACAUUAUAUUCAAUCCACUUAAGUGUUACGUGUCAAAUUAAAUUCAUAUAAAUACCAUAUCAAUUUUACUGUCAUCAGAAAUGAAAACAAUGAGAAAAUUAAAUAAAUAUAAUUUUUUUUGAUAAAAAUUGAAAUUUUCAAAAUUUGUGGGUAAAA